UACCAAUGUGCAUCUUAGGAGCUGGCGUGACCUGAGAUCCUGGCUGUUUCCUUUGGCUUCCCUGCCUGCCUGGCAGAGGUGGGGCCCGCAAGGAAGGGGGCCCCUAAAAGUGGCAAAAAAUUUAAGGUAUAACUAGGUCCUCAUUCAUGUACUAUAAGAUGGAUACAGUCUUCUGUGUGAUCUCUCCUUGCUUAGUCUUUGGAAAUCAUCCGAGAGGAUUCUCAUCGUCAUUAUUCUUGGAUCUUAUUUGUCCUCUGCUCUGCCAUUCAAAGCUCACCUUUUCUAUGCAGUGCUUUUGACACAAGUCUUGCUGAUGGAAAAAGGUUAUCAACCCAUUUUCUCAGCUCCAUUUUUAAUACCUAUAUAAAUGUUUAAUUAAGGAAACAUCUUAUGUUAUCUCAACUAUUUUUGUCUUCAGAGAUCCUUUGCACACCAAUAUCAGCUAUAUUUUCUCUUCUAUCACCUAAGUUGCUACAGGUGUUGGCAGGAUUAUAUAAAAUUUGUUUGGAAUUUUUGUAACAAAUAGAAAAUCAGGGAGUAGUGGAGAA